AACCGGCGAUUUCCGAAUGGGGAAACCCAGUGUGUUUCGACACACUAUCAUUAACUGAAUCCAUAGGUUAAUGAGGCGAACCGGGGGAACUGAAACAUCUAAGUACCCCGAGGAAAAGAAAUCAACCGAGAUUCCCCCAGUAGCGGCGAGCGAACGGGGAGGAGCCCAGAGCCUGAAUCAGUGUGUGUGUUAGUGGAAGCGUCUGGAAAGGCGUGCGAUACAGGGUGACAGCCCCGUACACAAAAAUGCACAUAUUGUGAGCUCGAUGAGUAGGGCGGGACACGUGGUAUCCUGUCUGAAUAUGGGGGGACCAUCCUCCAAGGCUAAAUACUCCUGACUGACCGAUAGUGAACCAGUACCGUGAGGGAAAGGCGAAAAGAACCCCGGCGAGGGGAGUGAAAAAGAACCUGAAACCGUGUACGUACAAGCAGUGGGAGCCUCUUAAUGGGGUGACUGCGUACCUUUUGUAUAAUGGGUCAGCGACUUAUAUUCUGUAGCAAGGUUAACCGAAUAGGGGAGCCGAAGGGAAACCGAGUCUUAACUGGGCGUUAAGUUGCAGGGUAUAGACCCGAAACCCGGUGAUCUAGCCAUGGGCAGGUUGAAGGUUGGGUAACACUAACUGGAGGACCGAACCGACUAAUGUUGAAAAAUUAGCGGAUGACUUGUGGCUGGGGGUGAAAGGCCAAUCAAACCGGGAGAUAGCUGGUUCUCCCCGAAAGCUAUUUAGGUAGCGCCUCGUGAAUUCAUCUCCGGGGGUAGAGCACUGUUUCGGCAAGGGGGUCAUCCCGACUUACCAACCCGAUGCAAACUGCGAAUACCGGAGAAUGUUAUCACGGGAGACACACGGCGGGUGCUAACGUCCGUCGUGAAGAGGGAAACAACCCAGACCGCCAGCUAAGGUCCCAAAGUCAUGGUUAAGUGGGAAACGAUGUGGGAAGGCCCAGACAGCCAGGAUGUUGGCUUAGAAGCAGCCAUCAUUUAAAGAAAGCGUAAUAGCUCACUGGUCGAGUCGGCCUGCGCGGAAGAUGUAACGGGGCUAAACCAUGCACCGAAGCUGCGGCAGCGACACUAUGUGUUGUUGGGUAGGGGAGCGUUCUGUAAGCCUGUGAAGGUGGCCUGUGAGGGUUGCUGGAGGUAUCAGAAGUGCGAAUGCUGACAUAAGUAACGAUAAAGCGGGUGAAAAGCCCGCUCGCCGGAAGACCAAGGGUUCCUGUCCAACGUUAAUCGGGGCAGGGUGAGUCGACCCCUAAGGCGAGGCCGAAAGGCGUAGUCGAUGGGAAACAGGUUAAUAUUCCUGUACUUGGUGUUACUGCGAAGGGGGGACGGAGAAGGCUAUGUUGGCCGGGCGACGGUUGUCCCGGUUUAAGCGUGUAGGCUGGUUUUCCAGGCAAAUCCGGAAAACCAAGGCUGAGGCGUGAUGA
rnacentral:rRNA from 2 species